AGGGAGGACUGGGAGUCCGGCCAGUGGGAACCUCACAGGCGCGAUGUGGCUCGAAUUAGGCUCCUAAGCGGCCAUGAGCUCAGAAGCUCUCCCAGAGACGGCAAGGGCUGAGCACGAGACCAGAGGUGGACGCAGAUUGGAAAGUGCUUCUCCUUCAUCACGACCUACCAGGGAUGUCGCCUGGAGCGCAGUGUGUAAGGUCAUGAAGGUGUUGUGAUGGUGGAAUGCUGUGCAGUUUCAGCGUCAAAAGUAAACAGCCUCAACAGUCUGAAAUUGCAAGCGGGAACCAGCAAGUUGGCGUAAAACAUGGACCGAAGGCAAGGGGUCCCUUCUUGGAGAGGCAUCCUAACAAGCUGGAACCUCUGUGAUCUGAUGAACGAGAUCACAUCAAAACAGGAUGUCUGUCUCAUGCGAGGACACCAGGGACUGAUCCGUGGAUGACGGAUGGGAGCAAAGUAUUUGUCAUCGCUGAAACUGAUGUGUGACUAUAGUCGACCCUUGAACCAUGGGCCCGUCAGGGCGCUGACCCUUCUGCACAGUUGAAUAUCCACGCAUAACUUUUGACUCCCCGCAAAGUUAACUACGAAUAGCCCACUGUUGACUGGAAGCCUUACAGAUAACAUGAGUAGUCGAUUGGCCCAUGGUUUGUAUGUUAUAUGAAUUAUAUACUGUACUCUUUCAAUAGAGUAAGCUGGAAAAAUGUUACUAAGAAAUUCCUAAGGAAGAGAAGCUAUGUUUGCAGAAUUGUCAACGGGGACCCGCACAGAUCAAACCUGCAUUCUCGGAGGAUCAACUGUAUCCCCAUGAUGCACAAGGGACUUCUGGAAAUUCCCAAGAAAAACAGCAGUGGGGACGGGGGAAUAGACAAGGAUAUUAACAGGCAAAUCAUAGACACAGAGACAGGAAGCCUGACCGAUCCUUUAAGGAGAAUUUCCACCGAAGCAAAUUCCCAGAGGCUUGAAGAUGAAACUAGGGCACCUGUUUGACUGGUCGCGCUGGGAAACUGGGUGACUCACUGGUGAGGGCAGGUCCCCGUGUGCAAGGGACCCGCAGAUCUAUGGUUUGGGACCAUGAUGACUCAGCAGGCGAUGCUCCGUGUUGGUGGGGAUGUGGCUGGGGCAAACUUUCUCAAGUUAAAUAAACU